rnacentral:rRNA from 1 species
UACGGGGGGUGCGAGCGUUGUCCGGAAUCACUGGGCGUAAAGGGCGCGUAGGUGGUUUGAUAAGGGUGUGGUGAAAGUCCGGGGCUCAACCCCGGAUCUGCCGUGCCGACUGUCAAACUCGAGGACUGUAGAGGCAGACGGAAUUCCCGGUGUAGCAGUGAAAUGCGUAGAGAUCGGGAGGAACACUAGUGGCGAAGGCGGCCUUCUGGACCAAUACUGACGCUCAUGCACGAAAGCGUGGGGAGCAAACAGG